UUUACAUUCCUUUCAUUUUGCCACUCCGAACGCUUAUGCAGCUGCAUCUGGGCUGGAAAAGUCACUUUUUUACUGGUGUAGCUACUCAGGAGAUCUCUGAUAACUCUGUUACCCAAGAACAGGGAAGGAUGUGUGAUGUCCAAGGCCCUGUGCCAGCAAAUCCCAGUUUUUGUGGUGUUUGUUCUCCCCCAGCACAGUUUGAUGAGAUUUGUCCAAAACAGCUUUCCUGGGGAAGCCCUUGGUCGUGUGGUCAUUAAGGGAGAAAUGGAAACAAUGCUGAGCAUGCGCGGUGUUGUGGGAAGGGAAGCGCAGGAGCAGUGCUAUGCCUGGUUACGUCAUGUGGCGUUAAAGGGCGGGGCGGAGCCGGGCAGCGCUGCGCAUGCGCACUGGCUUUACCCGCCCGGUGCUGUUGCUCCGUGGGUACCGUCCGGCGCUGCCCGGGAGCGGCUUGGAAGCACCGGGUUCGGUUCCCGGCUGCAGCAGCGGCGGGCGAGGGUUGUGGUGACAAUGGAGAUGGGCGGCUGUUGCUGUGGCUGCAGCGAGGUGGAAACCCAGGGCUGAGCUGGAGAACGGGUGGAGACAGUGGCAAGCGGGAGUCCCAUGUUUACAUCUGCCCUUGGAUUCCACUUUCUUCCAGUGGGUCUGUGCUGCCCGAAGUACAAAGGAAGGAGGUGUUGGAGUACCUGUUUGUUCACCUGUUGAGCUUGGAAGAGAUGCUGAGUGUGAAAUUGCAGGGGUGCCGGCUCCUUGCGAGCUGUUGGUUGCUGAGGAGAUUGGGUAGGGGAAAGGGGGGGAGAGUCCGAGCACAGCACAGUGAUAGGAGCUGGGUUUGCAUCUCAAUCUAAGGCAUCUCAAAGCCUGAUAAGCUGGAAAGAAGACUUUGCUGUGUUAAUGCACAAUUACAUUUUUGUGCAAUUUUUUGAAAUUAGGGCUGGGAUCAAUCUGGGGAGGUUAUCUGGCCCAAUUCCCUGUGCCCUGCUUUGCCAUGAGGAAUGGAUGCCUGACCUCUUUGCAGAGAGCUGCUGCUGCUAAAGAUUUCUCAGUUUCUAUAGUGAAUUUAUCCCAGUACUUUGCUGCUAUAAAGAAGUCUCCUCUUGCUGCCAUUUCCCCUUAUUACAUUUAAGAUUAGCUCCAGCUGAGUUAGAAUUUAAUCCCAACCUUUUCCCCUUUUUUUUUUUUCCCAAGAGGCCUCAGCUAUCUCGCUAUUUCUUUCCUCUCUCACCCUCCAGGUCCUGUUUUUCAGACCUCGUUCUUUCCUUAUAAAACCCUUGAUAACCCAUUCCCCACUUAAGGCUUUGUUGUAUCCUUGUUUUGCUACCUUCUGGGUGCUGUGGAUGAAGGUCUGGCUUUGAGGAGCACACCCUGCUCCCUUUGCUCAAGGGAUUGCAGUUAUUCCAAUCUCCUGCUGCUGAGGGCUUCCUUAGGCUCUUGCUGAAAUGAAAAAUAUCCAGGAAGUUUUUCCUUUUUUGAGAUUAGACUGGUUUCUGCAGGUCCUUGAGAUGUGACCAUGAUGGAUAAAAACCCACAGUGCAAAUGAAGGUUUCUCCCGUCUUCCCCCCUGCCCCCCACCUGCUCCAUGCACAGUUCAUUACUUUGUAAUCACAACUACUAAGGAAACCUUUCUAAUCUUGUCAAUUGGCAAUGCAACUGCUUUUAAAUUCUGGUUUAAAAUAGGUUUUGAAGUCAGGCUCUGCCCUUGCUAUUGAUUUGAAUUCUUGACUGAGUAAAUUAUUGGUGCUUAACAA